AGAGAGUUGGGAGAGCUAAUGAGUUGUUGAAGCCAGAUGAAAUUAUAGUGCAAAUUGACUCGAGGUCAAUUGCUGUGUCACCACUUCCUCACAACGUAAAGCUGGAAGAUGUUCAAUCUUUCUUUGGUCAGUAUGGCAAGGAAGGAAUUUGAUGCUGAAAUGGAGGCUAAGAAAGAAGCUUAUGAGAAGUCGCACCCUAAUACACACCCUAAUAAGAAUGGUCAUGAUGAAGGAUACCCAAAAGGUCUGAUUCUGCCUUUAAGCUGAAGAAAAUUCUAGCUUAUGGUGACACAGAACAAAAUGGUGGGGACAAAGUUGAUAAUAGCGACAAUGCCAAGAAGGAAGGGGGUGGAAUCGGGGAAAGCUUGUGAAGAGAAGGCCCCUGAGAACACUGAUGCCAAGGAAGAGAAGUCAGAUGAUGCUGAGGAGUUGAAAGUGUCAGAUGCACAAGGGAGCGGGCUGCUCUCGGUGCUCGACUGGGAGCUCACCGACGAGGAGGAGUACCGCCGCGCGCGCCCAGGUGCAGCGCAAGCGCGUGGAGGCGAAGGGGUACGCCGUCGAGGGGAUCUCGGUGAGCGGGCACGAGACCUGCAUCACCGUGCCGUCCCUCAGCGUCGCAUUUGACAUCGGCCGCGGCCCGCUCUUCGCCGUGCGCUAGGACCACCUCUUCAUCAUGCACGCCACCUCAACCACAUCGUCCUUCUGUCAGUGUCUUCAAUUGCUUUGCUGAAUAGUGGGUGGUAGCGGCUUGAGUGAAGAUCUUCGUAUCAAGGUUUGUUUACUACCGCGGAUUGCUUAUAUCACCUUGUUCUGUAAUUGUCUGUUACUUGCUGUACACAUACUGACUAGGCGUUGUGUCUGUGUUGCUGUUUUCCAUUUGCCUUUGCUGGUUAACUUACUUUUCAAGGACUAUUUCUUCUGCUCAGGAUGUGCCCUACUAUAUCUUUUGUGAUUCCUAUUUUGGAGACCCUGGCGGCGCAUGUUCCUUUGCCUGCUCUUUUGUACGUGUGUGAGAUAGCCGACGACGGGGCUGUGCUUGCUGGUGUUGAGCUUGAGCUUCCUACGAAUAGUGUGUCCCUACUUCCAGAUAGGACUUUGCUAAAAUUCCUGCAGGGGGGCUAUGGGUUUGUUAUCAGGGACUACGGUAGGGGUGCAGAGCGGCGUCCCGCAUAGACCCACCAAAGUGCUUAAUUAGUACAACUUUGCCUAACAGCAGCACAGCCUAAUUAGAACUAGCUUUUUCUAAUUUGUAUACAGAGCGGGACGGGUUUGGGCGCCGCCUUGCAUCCCUAGACUACGGGUUUCAAAGUGUUGGUUCAUACCAUUCAGGAGCAGUGCUGGUGCUAAGAACGCUGGCAAUGCAAAGAAAACAAGGCAGUAAUUCAUCUAUCGCCUAAGAUGACCAUGGAUGUACGGUAAGCCACAUUUUUCUUCCAUGCAUUCAGCUCAGUCUCUGCUUCCAUGGAAUUCAUGCUUUUCAAUUAAAUUAUCAGGGUGAUAAUGUAAACAGUCCAGCUGCUGAUGAACAUGAUUUGUCGACAAGGAAGCUUAAUAGCUACCAAGCACAACUUCGUGCUC